UGAAAGUCAUGCCUUCAACAA
rnacentral:misc_RNA from 1 species